rnacentral:rRNA from 1 species
UACGUAGGGGGCAAGCGGUUUGUCCGGAUUUAUUGGGCGUAAAGAGCGUGUAGGCGGCCUGGAAGGUCAGCUGUGAAAACUCGAGGCUCAACCUCGAGACGUCGGUUGAAACCGUUUGGCUAGAGUCCGGAAGAGGAGAGUGGAAUUCCCGGUGUAGCGGUGAAAUGCGCAGAUAUCGGGAAGAACACCCGUGGCGAAGGCGGGCUCUCUGGGACGGUACUGACGCUGAGACGCGAAAGCGUGGGGAGCGAACAGGG